CCCAGAGGUAUUGAUUGGUGAGUCUCAGCAACUUGUUUGUUGAACCCAUAUUAAUUUGCACCAACCUACGCAGAUGCGUAGGUUUUUUUU
rnacentral:sRNA from 1 species